CGGUGCGCGCGGUCGUCAAUCUUCUAUCCGCCUUCCCGUAACGGCCCUGCCUAACAAUACGGUUCAGUCGUAAUCGGUCACCCGUUACGGGGCUGGAAAUAUCGAACGUUUAAUAAUACCAUGACAGUACCUAUCUCAAGAGGAUGAAGCUUUUCAGCUGGUAUAACAAGGCAGUGCAACGGCAAUCCCAAAUCUACAUGCAUCAUAUCUUGCAGGGAACAAGCAACAAUAUGCUGGUCCUCGCAACCCACUCGCGCUAAACUCACUGCUAAACUCUGUUGUGUAAACACUGUCAAAUGCAAAAAUAAUUUAUAACUAUAUUAAUAAACAUAACAAAUUAUUUAAAU